UGGGGAAUAUUGGACAAUGGGCGCAAGCCUGAUCCAGCCAUGCCGCGUGAGUGAUGAAGGCCCUAGGGUUGUAAAGCUCUUUCACCGGUGAAGAUAAUGACGGUAACCGGAGAAGAAGCCCCGGCUAACUUCGUGCCAGCAGCCGCGGUAAUACGAAGGGGGCUAGCGUUGUUCGGAUUUACUGGGCGUAAAGCGCACGUAGGCGGACUAUUAAGUCAGGGGUGAAAUCCCGGGGCUCAACCCCGGAACUGCCUUUGAUACUGGUAGUCUUGAGUUCGAGAGAGGUGAGUGGAAUUCCGAGUGUAGAGGUGGAAUUCGUAGAUAUUCGGAGGAACACCAGUGGCGAAGGCGGCUCACUGGCUCGAUACUGACGCUGAGGUGCGAAAGCGUGGGGAGCAAACAGG
rnacentral:rRNA from 1 species